AUUGAACGCUGGCGGCAGGCCUAACACAUGCAAGUCGAGCGGAUGAAGGGAGCUUGCUCCUGGAUUCAGCGGCGGACGGGUGAGUAAUGCCUAGGAAUCUGCCUGGUAGUGGGGGAUAACGUCCGGAAACGGGCGCUAAUACCGCAUACGUCCUGAGGGAGAAAGUGGGGGAUCUUCGGACCUCACGCUAUCAGAUGAGCCUAGGUCGGAUUAGCUAGUUGGUGGGGUAAAGGCCUACCAAGGCGACGAUCCGUAACUGGUCUGAGAGGAUGAUCAGUCACACUGGAACUGAGACACGGUCCAGACUCCUACGGGAGGCAGCAGUGGGGAAUAUUGGACAAUGGGCGAAAACCUGAUCCAGCCAUGCCGCGUGUGUGAAGAAGGUCUUCGGAUUGUAAAGCACUUUAAGUUGGGAGGAGGGGCAGUAAGUUAAUACCUUGCUGUUUUGACGUUACCAACAGAAUAAGCACCGGCUAACUUCGUG
rnacentral:rRNA from 1 species